rnacentral:lncRNA from 1 species
UUCAGAUUCAAAGAAUAUUUCCUGUUCCCUUGGUACACUGUGAGAGGGGGUGUAUGGCUUCUUUUUGAGAAGUGCUGGAAAUGUUGUGAAAAGCGUAUCUGCAGUGAUUAUUCAUCAGCUGCUAAAUUAAGAAAAAAGAAAAACCUGUAUUUUUGUUGCCCUAUUUCUCUGUCUCCAAAUAAAUGAAAAUCAGAUCUUGCAAGGGAAGGUUUCCCCCAUGAAAACCAUGGAGUAAGCAGAGCUACCAUCCCUGCAGCAGUGGUCACCAGCAGGAUAAAAGGAAUGCUGCCAGAGGGCCGUUGAGAAAAGGGAAAAUAAGAGUGCAGUUCUCUCCUAUCACAAUGAAAGCUUGUGACAAGAAU